rnacentral:rRNA from 1 species
UACGUAGGGUGCGAGCGUUGUCCGGAAUUAUUGGGCGUAAAGAGCUUGUAGGCGGUUUGUCGCGUCUGCCGUGAAAAUCCGGGGCUCAACCCCGGACUUGCGGUGGGUACGGGCAGACUAGAGUGUGGGAGAGGUAAGCGGAAUUCCUGGUGUAGCGGUGAAAUGCGUAGAUAUCAGGAGGAACACCUGUGGUGUAGACAGCUUACUGGACCACGACUGACGCUGAGACACGAAAGCGUGGGUAGCAAACAGG